rnacentral:tRNA from 1 species
GCGGAGUUCGUACAGCAGAAGUACCCCGGAUCGCCAGUCCGGAAACACGGGUGCAAUUCCCGUACUCCGCUCCA